rnacentral:misc_RNA from 1 species
UGACUCAAUCAAAGGUCCAGU